rnacentral:rRNA from 1 species
CUAGUGGCGCACGGGUGCGUAACGCGUGGGAAUCUGCCCUUGGGUUCGGAAUAACAGUUGGAAACGACUGCUAAUACCGGAUGAUGACGUAAGUCCAAAGAUUUAUCGCCCAGGGAUGAGCCCGCGUAGGAUUAGCUAGUUGGUGGGGUAAAGGCCUACCAAGGCGACGAUCCUUAGCUGGUCUGAGAGGAUGAUCAGCCACACUGGGACUGAGACACGGCCCAGACUCCUACGGGAGGCAGCAGUAGGGAAUAUUGGACAAUGGGGGCAACCCUGAUCCAGCAAUGCCGCGUGAGUGAUGAAGGCCUUAGGGUUGUAAAGCUCUUUUACCCGAGAUGAUAAUGACAGUAUCGGGAGAAUAAGCUCCGGCUAACUCCGUGCCAGCAGCCGCGGUAAUACGGAGGGAGCUAGCGUUGUUCGGAAUU